rnacentral:rRNA from 1 species
AAUAGAUACCCCGGUAGUCCACCCCGUAAACGUUGGGAACUAGUUGUGGGGUCCAUUCCACGGAUUCCGUGACGCAGCUAACGCAUUAAGUUCCCCGCCUGGGGAGUACGGCCGCAAGGCUAAAACUCAAAGGAAUUGACGGGGACCCGCACAAGCGGCGGAGCAUGCGGAUUAAUUCGAUGCAACGCGAAGAACCUUACCAAGGCUUGACAUAUAGAGGAAACGGCUGGAAACAGUCGCCCCGCAAGGUCUCUAUACAGGUGGUGCAUGGUUGUCGUCAGCUCGUGUCGUGAGAUGUUGGGUUAAGUCCCGCAACGAGCGCAACCCUCGUUCUAUGUUGCCAGCACGUAAUGGUGGGAACUCAUGGGAUACUGCCGGGGUCAACUCGGAGGAAGGUGGGGAUGACGUCAAAUCAUCAUGCCCCUUAUGUCUUGGGCUUCACGCAUGCUACAAUGGCCGGUACAAAGGGCUGCAAUACCGUAAGGUGGAGCGAAUCCCAAAAGCCGGUCCCAGUUCGGAUUGAGGUCUGCAACUCGACCUCA